rnacentral:rRNA from 1 species
GAUGAACGCUGGCGGCGUGCCUAAUACAUGCAAGUCGAGCGAAUGGAUUAAGAGCUUGCUCUUAUGAAGUUAGCGGCGGACGGGUGAGUAACACGUGGGUAACCUGCCCAUAAGACUGGGAUAACUCCGGGAAACCGGGGCUAAUACCGGAUAACAUUUUGAACUGAAUGGUUCGAAAUUGAAAGGCGGCUUCGGCUGUCAUUUAUGGAUGGACCCGCGUAGCAUUAGAUAGUUGGUGAGGUAACGGCUCACUAAGGCAACGAUGCGUAGCCGACCUGGGAGGGUGAUCGGCCACACUGGGACUGAGACACGGCCCAGACUCCUACGGGAGGCAGCAGUAGGGAAUCUUCCGCAAUGGACGGAAGUCUGACGGAGCAACGCCGCGUGAGUGAUGAAGGCUUUCGGGUCGUAAAACUCUGUUGUUAGGGAAGAACAAGUGCUAGUUGAAUAAGCUGGCACCUUGACGGUACCUAACCAGAAAGCCACGGCUAACUACGUGCCAGCCGCCGCCGUAA